UAUAGUUCGACAUUUUAACAGCUGUAGGUGCGAGUUAGAUGUUUUUACUUUUAGAUAUCACCACAUUUGAUAAACAGUUCAAAAUAAACGUGUGUUGUAGAUGUAAAAAAUAAAAAGGCGUCUGGUAUGCAAAGCUGAAAUCCCCCUUGAACGUUCCACAACAGACCAACGAUUUAUAAAAACCCUGAAUUGCUGACGUUAUGGCCAUUGAGUGGCUUUGAAGCCACCGAUCGGCCAUAUUGGCACUCCCCCGAAGGAACAGUCUAUAGAAAUGAAGGCAAGUCUACAGUACUUAGAUUAAAUGUUUCAAGGACAAAAUUACAUGCCUUGCAGUCCAAACACAAAGUAGACGGGAUGUCGGGCUUAAACCCUCAGCCCUUGAAUGACGUUAUACAUGGUCACAUCUUGAGUGUACCUUAAAUGUCUCUUGUCCAAGCCAGGGAAAGUGAUCGGAGAGGCAACGUCUUUGGUGGAAAUCUUGAAAUUGUUCUUUAAAACAACCAACCUAAAGAUAUGAAGAGUAAGCUCUGUUCUGAACAGAGAUGUUAAGCAAUUCGGGAAGAAGUACAUGACUCAUAUGAAGAAGCGUGUUGGAAUUCUCUGACCAGGGCGAUUCUCCGUGAGUUACUCUGGAAUUCCCACAGUCCUUCAGAGUUUCAGAAUUAAAGGUGCAGUUCCAAGGUGGCCUUUCAGGAUGCCCAAAAGAUGGAGACUUGGCUAAAAUCAUAGAUUUUUACCCAGAAGACAGCAGCUCACUACAAAUAUCC